AUGUUUGCACUUGCAGUCUUCCUGCUCCUGCUCACUGAAACCACAGCCCACAAACCUCAUGAUACAUCGGGGCAUGGAAGGGGCUGCAUCGCCAGGGAGAGGGAAGCCCUGUUGUCCAUUAAAGCAGGCAUGGUAGACGAUGAUAGCCUGAGCCUCUUCUCAUCAUGGCACGGGCAGGACUGCUGCCGGUGGAUGGGCGUCAGGUGCAGCAACAGAACUGGCCAUGUCGUCAAGCUCGACCUUCACGAAGGAUUCCUCGUAGUGCCCCAUCAGCUUGGUAAUCUCUCGAAGUUGCGAUAUCUUGAUCUGGCAUCUGGUUAUGAUCAAUUGUACUCCAAAGAUAUUUCAUGGCUACGACAACUCUCUUCGCUCAAGUAUCUUGACAUGACUUCUGUGAACCUCAGCACAGUAACUGGUUGGGUUGAUACACUGAACAUGCUGUCCUUUCUUGAGGUCCUCAGGCUAACUGGUUGUUGGCUCCCUCCGAACAAUAGCACAGUCCACUCUGCUCCCCACACAAAUCUCACUAGGCUCAAGACCUUAGACCUCUCUUUCAAUUCAUUUGAAACAUUUCAUAGUGUUGCCUUCGUUUGGGGUGCAACCAGCCUGAAACAUCUGAAUCUUGAAGAGAACAUGAUCGAUGAAGUGCUGCCCGCAGAACUGGGAAACUUGAGCGCACUUGAAAUCCUUCAGCUGAGUGGGAGCUUCGUAAAGGGAAUGUUACCAGAUACUCUGAUCAAUCUUUGCAAUCUGAAAAUAAUUGACCUGACAUGGAAUGAAAUUGAAGGGGAUGUGACAGGGUUCAUCGAGAGGUUGCCAAAAUGUUCAUUGAGUAAGUUGCAGGUGCUGCUUCUGGAUCAUAAUAACAUAACUGGCUCCCUGCCAGAUUCAGUCAGCCGCAUGACUAGCUUGAUCACCCUUAAUCUGGCUUUCAAUGGGCUUACAGGAAAUCUGACCACUGGGAUAGGCAAUCUUUCUAACUUGACUUACCUUGACCUCCGCUACAAUCAGAUGGGUGGGCUGAUCACUGAAGAACACUUCUCCAAGCUUCCACAUUUGCAAGAACUGCACUUAUCUGCAAAUUCAUUUACCAUGGAGUGGAACUCUGAAUGGGUCCCUCCAUUCGGCUUGCAGAUAUUAGGAUUGAAAUCAUGUUGUGUUGGGCCAGGAUUCCCUCAAUGGCUCAAAUGGCAGGAGAAUUCUCCGAACUUUAUAUGUCCAAUGCCAGCAUAG
rnacentral:rRNA from 1 species